UGUAAUACCACCAAAUCAUGAUACGCCACAUCCGGUUGCAUACGAAAGUAGGUCUAAAAAAAUAUUCCCUUGAAUUUGACAGUUGUAGAAAAUUAACCCUGCAUUUCAAUGCACUUAAAUUUUUCUGAGUCAUAAACAUGUAUGUUGGGUGUCUGAAAGCAUCAUUCUUUUUUUAUUUGAUGGUCUUAUAGAAUGUUUUGGAAAGUUAAGGUUACAUAGUUACCAAAGCAGGUAACCAGUAAAUAAUCUGGUAAAAAUUUGGUUGUUUACUUCCGGUGCAGGUUACUUUCUUAUAUGCAAUGAAAUGUAGUGUGAAAUUUUCACUGUAGCACUGGAAAGGAUUAAACUUUAUUCAUGCAAAGUAUUUCUUUGGUUGAAAUAAAGUGUUAACCAUGAUGUGACAAGCAUUCUGUUGAAAAAUCUUAUACGUGAACUGGUCUGCAGAUGACACUUUAGCAUUGAGGCAAAAGAUACCAAGUUUUGAUGAAAAAAGAAGGAAGAAGGAAAAAUGGACCAAAAACAGACCAAAACAGACCUUCAAAUGAACUCUAAAAGGUGCAAUAAAAUUGUAUAUCAUCUUAAA